rnacentral:rRNA from 1 species
UGAGGAAUAUUGGUCAAUGGGCGAGAGCCUGAACCAGCCAAGUAGCGUGCAGGAUGACGGCCCUAUGGGUUGUAAACUGCUUUUAUGUGGGGAUAAAGUGCGUGACGUGUCAUGCAUUGCAGGUACCACAUGAAUAAGGACCGGCGAAUUCCGUGCCAGCAGCCGCGGUAAUACGGAAGGUCCGGGCGUUAUCCGGAUUUAUUGGGCGUAAAGGGUACGUAGGCGGAUAAGCAAGUUAGAAGUGAAAUCCUAUAGCUCAACUAUAGUAAGCUUUUAAAACUGCUCAUCUUUAGGUAUGGAAGGGAAAUUGGAAUUCCUAGUGUAGCGGUGAAAUGCGCAGAUAUUAGGAGGAAUACCGGUGGCGAAGGCGACUUUCUGGCCAUAAACUGACGCUGAGGUACGAAAGCGUGGGUAGCAAACAGG